rnacentral:miRNA from 1 species
UUCCUUCCGGUCAACGAGGAUGUACCUCGUUGAUCGGAAGGAAACCCUUCCGAUCAGAGAGGUACAUCGACCUCUUUGGCCGGAAGGGG